GACGAACGCUGGCGGCGUGCUUAACACAUGCAAGUCGAACGCUGAAGCUCAGCUUUUGUUGGGUGGAUGAGUGGCGAACGGGUGAGUAACACGUGAGUAACCUGCCCCCUUCUUUGGGAUAACGCCCGGAAACGGGUGCUAAUACUGGAUAUUCACUGGUCUUCGCAUGGGGGUUGGUGGAAAGGGUUUUUCUGGUGGGGGAUGGGCUCGCGGCCUAUCAGCUUGUUGGUGGGGUGAUGGCCUACCAAGGCUUUGACGGGUAGCCGGUCUGAGAGGGUGACCGGUCACAUUGGGACUGAGAUACGGCCCAGACUCCUACGGGAGGCAGCAGUGGGGAAUAAUGCACAAUGGGCGCAAGCCUGAUGCAGCGACGCCGCGUGAGGGAUGGAGGCCUUCGGGUUGUGAACCUCUUUCGCUCAUGGUCAAGCCGCAACAAUGGUUGUGGUGAGGGUAGUGGGUAAAGAAGCGCCGGCUAACUACGUG
rnacentral:rRNA from 1 species